AAAAAGGGCUUCUGUCGUGAGUGGCACACAUAGGGCAAUUUAAUUGCUCUUUGUGCAGAAUCGACAUCAAGAGAUCUCUGGACCGCUGGCGAA
rnacentral:snRNA from 1 species